CUGGUUGGUGGGGUAACGGCCUACCAAGGCGACGAUCGGUAGCUGGUCUGAGAGGACGAUCAGCCACACUGGGAUUGAGAACGGCCCAGACUCCUACGGGGGGCAGCAGUGAGGAAUUUUCCGCAAUGGACGCAAGUCUGACGGAGCAACGCCGCGUGCAGGAGGACGGUCUUCGGAUCGUAAACUGCUUUUCCCAGGGAAGAGCAAGGACGGUACCUGGGGAAGAAGCCCCGGCUAACUACGUGCCAGCAGCCGCGGUAAUACGUAGGGGGCAAGCGUUGUCCGGAGUUACUGGGCGUAAAGCGCCCGCAGGCGGUCGCGUCAGUUCGGGGUGACAGCUCUCGGCUUAACCGAGAGAGGACCUUGAAGACGGCGCGACUUGAGGGCCAGAGAGGGACAUGGAACUCCGGGUGGAGUGGUGAAAUGCGUAGAGAUCCGGAAGAACACCAAAGGCGAAGGCAGUGUCCUGGCUGGCACCUGACGCUCGGGGGCGAAAGCGAGGGGAGCGAACGGGAUUAGAUACCCCGGUAGUCCUCGCCGUAAACGAUGACCACUAGGUGUGGGAGGGAUCGACCCCUUCCGUGCCGGCGUUAACGCACUAAGUGGUCCGCCUGGGGAGUACGGUCGCAAGAUUAAAACUCAAAGGAAUUGACG
rnacentral:rRNA from 1 species